rnacentral:rRNA from 1 species
UACAGAGGGUGCGAGCGUUGUCCGGAAUCACUGGGCGUAAAGGGCGCGUAGGUGGCGGGCCAAGUCCAUGGUGAAAGCUCGAUGCUCAACAUCGAGUCGGCCACGGAUACUGGUGCGCUGGAGCACUGUAGAGGCUAAUGGAAUUCCAGGUGUAGCGGUGAAAUGCGUAGAUAUCUGGAGGAAUACCGGUGGCGAAGGCGGCAUCCUGGACCGACAUUGACGCUGAUGAGCGAAAGCUAGGGGAGCAAACGGG